rnacentral:piRNA from 1 species
UAGGAUUCUGCACAGGUCCUCCUGGUUAGA